GGCCUAACACAUGCAAGUCGAGGGGUAACAGGAAAGCUUGCUUUUGCUGACGACCGGCGCACGGGUGCGUAACGCGUAUGCAACCUACCUCAUACUGGAGGAUAGCCCUUGGAAACGAGGAUUAAUACUCCAUGGUAUCAUGAAUUCGCAUGUUUUUAUGAUUAAAGUUUUUCGGUAUGAGAUGGGCAUGCGUCCCAUUAGCUAGUUGGUGAGGUAACGGCUCACCAAGGCGACGAUGGGUAGGGGGCCUGAGAGGGUGGUCCCCCACACUGGUACUGAGACACGGACCAGACUCCUACGGGAGGCAGCAGUGAGGAAUAUUGGUCAAUGGAGGCAACUCUGAACCAGCCAUGCCGCGUGAAGGAUGACGGCCCUAUGGGUUGUAAACUUCUUUUAUAGAGGAAGAAACUUGUCUACGUGUAGACAACUGACGGUACUCUACGAAUAAGGAUCGGCUAACUCCGUGCCAGCAGCCGCGGUAAUACGGAGGAUCCAAGCGUUAUCCGGAUUCAUUGGGUUUAAAGGGUCCGUAGGCGGGUCUUUAAGUCAGUGGUGAAAGCCGACAGCUCAACUGUCGAACUGCCAUUGAUACUGGAGACCUUGAGUACAAAUGAAGUAGGCGGAAUGAGUCAUGUAGCGGUGAAAUGCAUAGAUAUGACUCAGAACACCGAUUGCGAAGGCAGCUUACUAACAUGUAACUGACGCUGAGGGACGAAAGCGUGGGGAGCGAACAGGAUUAGAUACCCUGGUAGUCCACGCCGUAAACGAUCAUCACUCGCUGUUGGCGAUAUACUGUCAGCGGCCAAGCGAAAGUAUUAAGUGAUGCACCU
rnacentral:rRNA from 1 species